GGUGAUAUAGCUCAGCUGGUAGAGCAUCGGACUGAAAAUCCGUGUGUCGCUGGUUCGAAUCCGGCUAUCACCA
rnacentral:tRNA from 1 species